CGUUUACUCUCGAAGAGACCGGUACACUUCAUCGUGUCGUGGUACACAACCAUUGCCAUCCAAUGACGCCGAAAGCAACCGUAAAGUCUCGUCAGGUCUACAGGUCGCCGGCCUGUUAUGCGCCGUACCUUCCAAGCCUGCAAUCCAGAAAACAUAAAUGUACGAUGGGUUUUGAUCGAUUUCGUGAGAGAAGGUUUGAAACACUUCGUGACUCGUGAGGAUCUGUAUGCGCUACCGAGAAAUGCAAUUUAGGAGAAUAACGUUAUGCACUGACAUUCAGCAAAAAGAUAAAGCCUGAACUAAUUGUCGACAUAAAAUUGCCGGAAGAGGCAAACGUCGGAAUUUACCAGAGCUUGUGGAACUUAGCUCGAACCUUCGAACAGCGGUCUCAAACCUGAAAUCCAUCGUCCAUAGAGUUUAAUAUCAACUCUCAAAUUCUGCACUGCCUUAAAAGUCAGUCCUCAGCUUACGUCGCCGCCUGUUGAACGUGCGAAACCUCGCAUUGGUUCUCACUGACGGAUAUCCAAUUCGAGAACUGAACCAAAGAGCGGCCCUCGAGCUGUUAUCACCGUGGGGAUACAUACGAUCCUGAAGGAGGUGCCCUUCCGCGCCGCGCCGUAAGAAGCGAAGAGCUGGAGAGUCUCAAAGGAGAACAACUCUACAAACUGUGUCCUAAUUCCUAGGAAACAUAAAGAACGUGCAAGGGAGCAUAUUUCAUGACCGUAGAAGAAAAAUGAUUUCGCACACAGCAUAUCCAGUUUAACAUGGGCGAUUUGAAGGCGAUUUAAAAAAAAAUGUUGAAUGGCAAAUGAUUUGUUAUAUACAGGAACAUUCGCUUAAUCGGGGGGAAUAGGUAAUCCUUGAGAUUUUCCGAUGUCUUCAUACUAAAAGGGUCCACAACGGACGAGCA